ACUAACCUAUUCUAGUACAUCAUUUUUCUUCUAGUCAGAAUUCAGUUUUAACUAGAAGAAGAAUGAUGUACUAGAAUAGUUUA
rnacentral:pre_miRNA from 1 species